rnacentral:lncRNA from 1 species
CGCGUCCGUCGCGAGCGACCGGGCCGAGGGGAGGCCAGCGAAGCCGAGUAAAACCGCCGCCCGGGAGAAGACUGAAGGAGCAGUUGCCGCCGUUGGCGGCGGCCCGAGCAGUUUUCGCUGCUGCUACGGCUGUUGCCAUGAGGCGAGGCUAGGGAGGACCUCACUUCCCCGGGGUGUAAUAAUGUUAACUGAGGCCAGUCUAUCCAUAUGGGGAUGGGGAAGCCUUGGCAUUGUCCUUUUUCUGAUAACCUUUGGACCCUUUGUAAUAUUUUAUUUGACAUUUUAUAUCCUCUGCUUUGUGGGUGGGGGUUUAGUGGUUACUCUCCUGUUUGGAAAAACAAACUCAGAGAAGUACCUAGAACAGUGUGAACACUCAUUUCUUCCUCCAACAUCACCUGGGGUUCCUAAGUGCUUAGAAGAAAUGAAACGGGAAGCCAGGACUAUUAAGAUUGAUAGAAGAUUGACGGGUGCCAAUAUAAUUGAUGAACCUCUCCAGCAAGUUAUCCAGUUUUCCUUGAGGGAUUAUGUCCAGUAUUGGUAUUAUACACUAAGCGAUGAUGAAUCUUUUCUUCUUGAAAUUAGGCAGACUCUUCAAAACGCACUCAUUCAGUUUGCUACUAGGUCAAAAGAAAUAGACUGGCAACCUUAUUUUACUACACGCAUUGUAGAUGACUUUGGCACACACUUACGAGUAUUCAGAAAGGCUCAACAGAAAAUAACAGAGAAAGAUGAUCAAGUGAAAGGUACAGCAG